rnacentral:rRNA from 1 species
GAUGAACGCUGACAGAAUGCUUAACACAUGCAAGUCAACUUGAACUUCGGUUUGGGUGGCGGACGGGUGAGUCACGCGUAAAGAACUUGCCUCACAGCUAGGGACAACAUUUGGAAACGAAUGCUAAUACCUGAUAUUAUGAUUAUAUGGCAUCGUAUAAUUAUGAAAGCUAUAUGCGCUGUGAGAGAGCUUUGCGUCCCAUUAGCUGGUUGGAGAGGUAACAGCUCACCAAGGCGAUGAUGGGUAGCCGGCCUGAGAGGGUGAUCGGCCACAAGGGGACUGAGACACGGCCCUUACUCCUACGGGAGGCAGCAGUGGGGAAUAUUGGACAAUGGACCGAGAGUCUGAUCCAGCAAUUCUGUGUGCACGAUGAAGUUUUUCGGAAUGUAAAGUGCUUUCAGUUGGGAAGAAAAAAAUGACGGUACCAACAGAAGAAGUGACGGCUAAAUACGUG